rnacentral:rRNA from 1 species
GCCAGGGAAUUACGAGCCCAAGCUUAAAACCCAAAGGACCUGACGGUACCCCAUCCCCCUAGAGGAGCCUGUUCUAUAAUCGAUAAUCCCCGAUACACCUCACCCCCUCUUGAAUUUUCAGCCUGUAUACCUCCGUCGCAAGCCUACCAUGUGAAUGCAAACUCAGUAAGCCUAAAGACCACCAUACAUACGUCAGGUCAAGGUGCAGCCCAUGAGGCGGGAAGAAAUGGGCUACAAUUUCUAAGUUAGAACAAACGGAAGACUGCAUGCAACACAGUCACAAGGCGGAUUUAGCAGUAAAAAGAAACCAGAGAGUUCUUUUUAACCCGGCCCUGGGGUGUGUACACACCGCCCGUCACCCUCUUCAAUUACCCAUAUGAAUGUUCCCUAACCCAUCCCCCAAAAUACAGAAGAGGCAAGUCGUAACACGGUAAGCGUACUGGAAAGUGCGCUUGGACAACAAAAUGUAACUUAUAAAAAGUAUCUUGCUUACACCGAGAAGAUGUCUACGAAAUUUAGACCAUUUUGCGCUAACUGCCCAGCCCCUCCAAUACUCAUGUAAAAAUCANACAACAAUUUUAUAAUAAAACAUUCUGUGACCCAGUAAAGGCGAUUAANAAGUAUGUAGGAA